rfam:Schistosoma mansoni strain Puerto Rico chromosome 2, complete genome
AUCCAGCUGACGAGUCCCAAAUGGGACGAAACUAGCGUCAAACUGGAU